rnacentral:rRNA from 2 species
GUCGAACGACUCUGGUAUUGAUUGGUGCUUGCAUCAUGAUUUACAUUUGAGUGAGUGGCGAACUGGUGAGUAACACGUGGGAAACCUGCCCAGAAGCGGGGGAUAACACCUGGAAACAGAUGCUAAUACCGCAUAACAACUUGGACCGCAUGGUCCGAGUUUGAAAGAUGGCUUCGGCUAUCACUUUUGGAUGGUCCCGCGGCGUAUUAGCUAGAUGGUGGGGUAACGGCUCACCAUGGCAAUGAUACGUAGCCGACCUGAGAGGGUAAUCGGCCACAUUGGGACUGAGACACGGCCCAAACUCCUACGGGAGGCAGCAGUAGGGAAUCUUCCACAAUGGACGAAAGUCUGAUGGAGCAACGCCGCGUGAGUGAAGAAGGGUUUCGGCUCGUAAAACUCUGUUGUUAAAGAAGAACAUAUCUGAGAGUAACUGUUCAGGUAUUGACGGUAUUUAACCAGAAAGCCACGGCUAACUACGUGCCAGCAGCCGCGGUAAUACGUAGGUGGCAAGCGUUGUCCGGAUUUAUUGGGCGUAAAGCGAGCGCAGGCGGUUUUUUAAGUCUGAUGUGAAAGCCUUCGGCUCAACCGAAGAAGUGCAUCGGAAACUGGGAAACUUGAGUGCAGAAGAGGACAGUGGAACUCCAUGUGUAGCGGUGAAAUGCGUAGAUAUAUGGAAGAACACCAGUGGCGAAGGCGGCUGUCUGGUCUGUAACUGACGCUGAGGCUCGAAAGUAUGGGUAGCAAACAGGAUUAGAUACCCUGGUAGUCCAUACCGUAAACGAUGAAUGCUAAGUGUUGGAGGGUUUCCGCCCUUCAGUGCUGCAGCUAACGCAUUAAGCAUUCCGCCUGGGGAGUACGGCCGCAAGGCUGAAACUCAAAGGAAUUGACGGGGGCCCGCACAAGCGGUGGAGCAUGUGGUUUAAUUCGAAGCUACGCGAAGAACCUUACCAGGUCUUGACAUACUAUGCAAAUCUAAGAGAUUAGACGUUCCCUUCGGGGACAUGGAUACAGGUGGUGCAUGGUUGUCGUCAGCUCGUGUCGUGAGAUGUUGGGUUAAGUCCCGCAACGAGCGCAACCCUUAUUAUCAGUUGCCAGCAUUAAGUUGGGCACUCUGGUGAGACUGCCGGUGACAAACCGGAGGAAGGUGGGGAUGACGUCAAAUCAUCAUGCCCCUUAUGACCUGGGCUACACACGUGCUACAAUGGAUGGUACAACGAGUUGCGAACUCGCGAGAGUAAGCUAAUCUCUUAAAGCCAUUCUCAGUUCGGAUUGUAGGCUGCAACUCGCCUACAUGAAGUCGGAAUCGCUAGUAAUCGCGGAUCAGCAUGCCGCGGUGAAUACGUUCCCGGGCCUUGUACACACCGCCCGUCACACCAUGAGAGUUUGUAACACCCAAAGUCGGUGGG